rnacentral:rRNA from 1 species
AUUGAACGCUGGCGGCAGGCCUAACACAUGCAAGUCGAGCGGAGCGGCGGACGGGUGAGUAAUGCCUAGGAAUCUGCCUGGUAGUGAGGGAUAACGUCCGGAAACGGGCGCUAAUAACGCAUACUAACAAAUGAGCCUAGGUUGGAUUAGAUAAUUGGGGGGGUAAAGGCCUACAAAGGCGACGAUCCGUAACUGGUCUGAGAGGAUGAUCAGUCAUAUUGGAACUGAGACACGGUCCAGACGCCUACGGGAGGCAGCAGUGGGGAAUAUUGGACAAUGGGCGAAAGCCUGAUCCAGCCAUGCCGCGUGUGUGAAGAAGGUCUUCGGAUUGUAAAGCACUUUAAGUUGGGAGGCGUUACCAACAGAAUAAGCACCGGCUAACUUCGUGCCAGCAGCCGCGGUAAUAC